rnacentral:tRNA from 2 species
AGGGUUAUAGUUAAUUAUAACAUUUGAAUUGCACUCAAAAAGUACUGAAAUAAAUUUAGUUAACCUUA